CAAUCACUCANUUNAUACNGAANUCCCNCAAUCACUCACUUNAUACAGAANUCCNNCAAUCACUCACUUAAUACAGRACUCCCACARUCACUCACUUAAUACAGAACUCCCACAAUCACUCACUUAAUACAGAACUCCCACNAUCACUCACUUAAUACAGAACUCCCACAAUCACUCACUUAAUACAGAACUCCCACAAUCACUCAYUUAAUACAGAACUCCCACAAUCACUCACUUAAUACAGAACUCCCACAAUCACUCACUUAAUACAGAACUCCCACAAUCACUCACUUAAUACAGAACUCCCACAAUCACUCACUUAAUACAGAACUCCCACAAUCACUCACUUAAUACAGAACUCCMACAAUCACUCACUUANUACAGAACUCCCACAAUCACUCACUUAAUACAGAACUCCCACNAUCACUCACUUAAUACNGAACUCCCACNAUCACUCACUUAAUACNGAACUCCCACAAUCACUCACUUNAUACNGAACUCCCACAAUCACUCAC
rnacentral:sRNA from 1 species